rnacentral:rRNA from 1 species
CGGCGGACGGGUGAGUAACGCGUGGGUAACCUACCCUGUACACACGGAUAACAUACCGAAAGGUAUGCUAAUACGGGAUAAUAUAUUUGAGAGGCAUCUCUUGAAUAUCAAAGGUGAGCCAGUACAGGAUGGACCCGCGUCUGAUUAGCUAGUCGGUAAGGUAACGGCUUACCAAGGCGACGAUCAGUAGCCGACCUGAGAGGGUGAUCGGCCACAUUGGAACUGAGACACGGUCCAA